ensembl:lncRNA
UGGAAGGCAGGCCUGCGGACCCUGCAUCACCACUGCCCCCACUUCCGGAAGGCUCCAGAGUCCCGGGAGCUGGAAGGAGGGCAUCCAGACCAGGACUCUCGGCAAUGCAAAGCCGCCAGGUCUGCUGUGCGGCAUGUGGAGCCCAGAUGUCCUUCCCAAACUGUCAUCUUCCAUUGUCCAUGAGAUCGACAGCAUUCUGGGCAACAAACCCUACAGCAAAAGGACUACAGAUCCUAAGUUGUCCCGCUGCCCACCAGGACAGUUUCCGGCCCCUCCUCAUCUGUUCGCUGCUUAUGCUGUUUCCACACCAAGUGCAGAGUGGGUUUGCAUCUGAGAGAACCCGCCGUGCCCAAACACCACCGGACACGACCUGCCGGUUGCCUUCAGACACCACCCGCUGCUUUGCCGGACGCUGUCAGGUCUCCGGGGACAGCCGUAGCCUGCGCAGCUCCUCCUCGGGGAAGAAACCCAGUUUGUACCCAGCCUUUCAUGGAGACUCCCAAAGCCAAGGUCAGGCCAAGACCUGGCUGGGUCCUCAGGUCAGGCAGGGUGGGCCUCUCCUCUGCCGAGAACCCCAGACCUGGGGAAGUGGUCUGGCACUUCCUGGGGGCCCCUCUGCCAGGGCCCCAGUGGGCAGGGUGGGGCCUCCCCUUGGAGUUUCUCCAGUCCCCCUCUUCCCAUGGGCUCCAGGCACAUUGCUGGGCCCUGACCCCAGGCACCUCCACCACUCUCUCCCACCCCGAUCCAGCCCUGUGCCCACUGGGCCUUGGCAGGGUCAUGGCUACCAGCUGGCCCUUGGGCCCACCUUAACCCUUGCUGGCAGGGGCAGGGACCCCAGGGGAUUGGGUGUGUGGUUGGGGACCCACAGAAAUUUGGGGAUCUGAUUUCUGGCUAAUCAUCCCGUUGUGUUCAACCCUGUACACAAUCAAAGAGCCCCUGCCAGGAGGCCAGGGCACUUGGGAAGGAGCCCUGGGGAGCAGGCCCCUCUGUCCUGACCCAGAAGGCCGAUGCCAAGCACUAUGACCUGGACCAUGGCUGCAGGCCACAUGGCGGGCAGGGGAGCAGGCCGGGCCCCGCGCACUUGACUGUGUUCCUCUAGGUUAGCAGGGUCCCUCCUCUAACACUCCCUGCCCGCGCCAGGGUGAUGGCUUGGGUUCUGAAGAGGCCAUGCUCAGCCCCUUUCAGGGAAGGUCUCUGGGGUUUCCAUGCUGCAGGUGCAGGGGCUGGGGGCUGCACCAAAGCAGCAACACACGCCAUGUAGGAAAAAGAACUCAGGGACCCGCGCCCAGGAGAGAUGGCCGGGCUGUUCAUUCCCUUCCACACCCGCUCACCUAGGAUGGUCAGAAGGGAGGGAGGGACACUCAGGCAGAGCGUCAGACCCUUAGCAGCAAGGGGCUGAAGAGAGGGUGACAGCCCAGUGGCCCACAGGUGUGAGGCCAUGUGCUGCCUGGCCACGGUCCUGUGUGGGACCCAGCCUUCUCUAUGUAGGACCAGGGCUGUGCAGAAGCCAUGCCCCUACCCUAGCUAUACCAGCUGGCCCCAGGGAGGACCCCGCUCCUCCACCCCAGUGGGUGUCAUCCACCCACACCCUCCGUGCAGGUGCAGGAACAUCUGUCCUGCCACGCCCUUUGGUGGAGCUGACAUUCCAGCAGGCUUCCCCCUGCCCCUGUCCAGGCUGGGUGGAGACCUGGGACCGUGGCUGGAAGAAACCCACUGAGACACAGGCAGAGGAGGUGGUCGUGGAAGAGGGAGCCAGGGCACCUGGCUUCCUCCGUCUCCCAGGGCGGCCGGCCGGCCCUGGAGUCCAGAACCCCCACACUGCCCCUGGACCAGACCCUGGGGCUCUUCUCCACCAAGCUCUGCCAUGAGCUUCAACCAGAAGCCACCCUGUCAGUGUCCAGAGGGGGCAGUGUCCCUCUAAGCAGAGGCCACCAGGCUGUAGCCGCCCCCUCUGUGUGGGGACCUCAGGUGGCUGUCUGGGGACAGGUCACCUGGCCCUGGCUGACGGGUAGUACCCGGCCCUGCCCACUGUGGGGAGGAGGAACGUGAUGUGCCUAGUGCCCUGGGUCGGAGACUGCUGCUCCCCAGGGGCCACUCGAGGGAACGUGGAAUCCCUGCUGGCUGCAUUUCCCCAAGAAAGGGAGCACCCUGGGAGGACCUCGGGAGGCCCACAUGCAUGGUAUCCAGGACCCCGGCAGCCUCUGAAUGGCACCUCCACACCCUGGCUCGGGGGCUGUUCCUUUAUAGCCACCGCAGGGAGAACAAGGCUGGGGUGGGAGCCCGAUGUGGGAGGCGUUGGAGGGGCCUCUGGGGAAGGAUGGUAGACCAAGAGCUAGACAAGGAAGCCUGAAGCUCUUGGCCUGGGCCAGGGGACCGCCUCGGCUCCCUCCCGACUCCUGCUGCCCCUGUCCUCUCCCGGAAGCACGGCCGAGGCCCUCACCCGGAGAGCUGGACAUAGGAAGAGCCCAGUCCGGGGGCUCAGGCUUCACCGCGGAGAGCAGAGCCCGCUCCCACGUGCCCCGAGCCCAUGGUGAAGGCUCAGGUCCUGUUCUCACCCCGCUGCCAUGUUCGUAACUCGCUCUCUCUCUCAUUUUCUAAUGAUCGUGGUUCUUCCACUAUCUGCGUCCCCCCAGGCAGAGACCACCGGACUUCAGCUUCCGGGACAGCCGCGUAUUUAUGGAAUGACAAAUAAAACCCAAGCC